rnacentral:tRNA from 1 species
GGGGGCAUAGCUCAGUGGUGGAGCGUGUGUUUGGCCAGCACAAGGCGGGGUUCAAGCCCCAGCACCAG